CAAGAACUUGAAUGUAUUAUCUCCAGUUCUGUAACAGCUCUGAAAUGAUAGUGGUAGUGUUCUUUGUGUACAGAUCCAUUAACUGAGGUGCAAGGAAGUUAAGUGGUAGCUUUCUUCAGUAUCACAGAGCUACAAGUGGUGGGGUUAAAAUUUGACAUAGUCUCACAAAAGCUUCUUUCUCAAUUUGAAUCUGUAUUUGUAUGGGAAAUAUACCAUA
rnacentral:lncRNA from 1 species